AGAAAUAACUUAUGAAUUUAUAUUCUCCUUCACCCCUAAACCAUUUUCAGGUGUGUUAAUUUCCCAGUUAUAUUUGAUUUAUCAGGAUCCAGAACCACACUGCCUAGAGAGAAUCUACUGGGGUAGCAUGUUUCAAGCUUGCCUUCUGUCCUGCCUUUCUAUCCCCUUUCCAUGCCUCAAUGACUAGGCCAAGACUCUGCCUUGUGUGAAGAGUUAAAUAGCACCAGAGACUUUUCCUCCUCAUUCAUCAUCAGGGCAGCCUCAUUCACUUCUCUCUUUGUCCUCUUCUUAUCACAGAAGGACCUGCUGGGGAGUUGAUCCACUCAGCUGUGAGCCUGGACCAGACCUCAUGCUGCUAUAGCCCCAGUUGGUUGGUUGAUGGCCUUUUUGUCUAAGCCACAGUUGCCCACCAAAACAGGGAGUUGCAUUAGCCUUCCUUCUCUAUAGAUAGACACGCACAGUGGGAGCCUUUCCAAGACCUUCAUUCCACCCAUAUUCAGAGCAGAUACCUUUCUCCAGAGUCCCACAGCAGAUGUGAUUUGAAUUUUACAUUGAAAUAUUUGUUUCAGGUUCAACAAUUAGACUUUUCUGCUUCAAGAUCUGACUUAAGGGUUCGUGUAUUACUGGUCAACUCAUCCAACAUCAAGGUUCACGGAAAACUCCUCAUACUUAAUGACAGAGAGACUUCCAAAAUGAAGGUGUGAUAAAUCAACAACAGGUGAAUGGGAGAAGAUAUUCAAAGCCAGAGAGAAGGGUGGAAGCCCCAGCAAUUUGUAAGUUGCAUAACCAAGAUAACUACCUGUUGCAUCCAUAGAUAACAUCAAGUCCUAUGAUUUCUGUGCAUGAUUUAAUAACUUAGAAGCUUUGAAACUUGGUUCUUUCUAGAUGAAAAUGAGUAUGUUCUUACUCUAUUUGUGGCAGUAUCUAUAUACUAUCUUGACACUUUCUGUACUUUCAUUCCUACUGAAGUCUUGCCUAACUUUCUUUUGAGGUUGGGAAUAUCCUCAGGGACUUCUAAGAAAUCAACAGCAGAGAUGUGACCCCAUGUGUUAUUGCUGGCAGUUUUGGUAAUCAUCACCAUACUUCAGUUGCAAAAACCACUCCCCACAAUCUUCUUUCUUACAAUCCACUCUCAAAAGCACAAAAGAUGUAUUAGGGUCAUAGCCAUACACAAUGUUAGAAUAAAUGCAUUUGGGGCUAAGAAUUCUAAUAAAGA
rnacentral:lncRNA from 1 species